GCGGUGUUUUGGGGAAGAGAGCUUAGCAGCGCCUACAUCUCUCUCUCUCUCUCCUUUUCUUUCUCACUCUCUCUGAUGUCUCAGCUUGGUUUUGUGCUCUUCAGCCUUGACCAAAAAAAGAGGAAGUAGCAGCUCCUGUGUUACUGGUGAUCGCUACCCCGGAGCCCUUUCUGGUGCAGAUUUACCUCCUCAAUUCCAAUGGUCAUGGUCAAAGAAAAAGUGGCUCAUGCGCAGGAGACACACCACCACUCCUCAGAGAAGCCCCUGAUUCAGUGCUACAAGUGCGGGGAGCCAUGUAAGGGCGAGGUGCUGCGGGUGCAGAACAAGCAUUUUCACCUAAAGUGCUUCACCUGUAAAGUGUGCGGCUGUGACCUCGCCCAGGGUGGUUUCUUCAUGAAGAAUGGAGACUAUCUGUGCACGCUGGACUACCAACGCAUGCACGGCACCCGCUGCAAUGGCUGUGGGGACUUUGUGGAGGGGGAAGUGGUCACUGCCCUGGGCAAAACCUACCACCCUGCCUGCUUUGUCUGCACCAUCUGCAAACGACCGUUCCCCGCCGGGGACAGGGUGACCUUCAACGGGAAGGACUGCUUGUGUCAGUACUGUGUCGAGCCAAUGUCUCCGGGACCAAAGGACAUCCUCGGCUCCAGCAAUUGCGCAGGAUGUGGUCGAGACAUCAAGAACGGACAGGCUCUUCUAGCAUUGGACAAACAAUGGCAUCUGGGCUGCUUCAAGUGUAAGGCCUGCAACAAGGUGCUGACCGGGGAGUACAUCAGCAAGGAUGGCGCCCCCUACUGUGAGAAGGACUACCAGAUCCAUUUUGGAGUUCAGUGUGAGGCGUGUCAUCAGUUCAUCACGGGGAAGGUGCUAGAGGCCGGAGAUAAGCACUACCACCCCAGCUGUGCGCGAUGCAGCAGGUGCAAUCAGAUGUUCACAGAAGGAGAAGAGAUGUAUCUGCAAGGAUCAACGGUGUGGCAUCCUGGGUGCAAGAACACCACCCGAACAGAGGAGAGACACAGAGAGCGGCUAUUGCCUCCGUCCCUCUUAUUCCUCCAAAAAACAGAAAGGCAGCCUACGAGGUCGUCAUCCGAGAGCAUUUGUUCCAGACCUGGUUCAAGCAUACCUGGCUCACCGGGUCACACGAUCUAUGCAAAAGUAGACAAUGAGAUCCUUGAUUACCGAGACCUAGCUGCCAUUCCAAAAGUCAAAGCCAUUUAUGACAUUGAGCGCCCUGAUCUUAUUACCUAUGAACCUUUGUACACCACCUCCCUGGAUGAGAGAGACGAGAGAGGAGAGAGUGUGGGAGAGCUCCACACUGCCAGGAGGGAGCGUUCCCCCUUGCCCGAUGACAAGACCUCAAGGAACAUGUCGCCAACCCCAUCUGGUGAGGGUUCUUACGACAGGAGGGAACGCAUCCUCCAAAGGUCAACCAGUCAGGGCUCCAUAGGGUCCCCAGUUUAUAAUCGCCAUGGUUACACCCCCACUCUGUCACGGUCCCCUCAGCAUUUCCACAGGCCAGAGGCUCUGACAGGCAUGCAGAAGCUCUGCUCCUCCUUGUGCAGUAACAGUGUGGGCUCCAGAAAUAGUGACUCACGCCCCACCUCCCCUUUCAGACACCACUUCCUCCCCCAUAGCCAAGGCACUGACCCCCUGAGUGGCCGGAGCUCCCCCCUCCCGCUCAGGCCCGACAGCCGGCCGGUCACCCCGCCUCUCUCUCUGACCCCUAAACAUUUCCACCUCCCAGAUCAAGGGAGCAACAUCUACAGAAAACCCCCCAUCUACAAACAACACGAUACAGAUGCCAUAGCACGUCAAAUCAAGUCUGCUGAUGAGAUCAUCAGAUCGGCCACCUUCCCCGCUGCCCAUGCUCCAUCUCCGGAUGACAGCUCACGGAGUGAGGGCGACCGCUGGCCUUGCUCUCUUGCUGUAUUAGGUUCAGAAGGGGUUAGACGAUCCAGAGAAGAGGAGGAGGAAGACACCUUGAAAAAAAAGCAGCUCCACGAGGAACAUCUGAGCAAGAUUCAGUCUGGUUUGGGAAAGCUUAUUCUGAAGGAGGAGAUGGAAAAAGAUCAGAUCAGGGAGCGUCACGCACGUAGCCUCUCUGCUCAGCGCUACGACCCGAAACAGACCGACUGUGACGCAGAACCAACUUCUCCAACCAAAACCAACUCUCUGCCUGGUUAUGGAAGGAACGGGUUGCAUCGGCCCCAGUCAACAGACUUCACCCAGUACAACAGCUACAGUGACAUGUGCGGGGGAGGCAGAGAGUUUCAGGUAUGUCUCUCAUCUGCUUUUUCACAUGGCAUGCUUCCUCACCUUGCAUCAUACAUUUGCUUGCUCAUGGGUUACAAGAACAACAGGCACCUUGCCCUGAAUGCACACCGCCCACUCCUGCUACAUGCUUGCAUCACUGUUGGAGUGAAUGUCAAUUACAGGGCAUGCAGUGCAGUGAUUUCAAAUGCUAAAACAUGCACUGCCCAGUAGCUGAGCCAGUGUACUGUAAAUGCAAUGUGCAAUCAUAGCCUCAUGUCUUGUUUUGUGUGUUGUUUUCCAAUGUUAUGACUCAAGUUAAAUGUCACAUUUUAAACAUAUGAUUUGAAAGUUCACCAUAGAAAAAAAAAAUACAGAGACAUUCAGAAAAACAUUCCCCAUCUCAAAUACUUCUGAAGAAACUGAACUGUAUCCAAGCUCCAUCCAGUGACCUCUGCGCCCUCAGUCAUUAGUGGACACAUUCAUACCAUUAACCCUGCAGUCCCCUUCCACUAUAUUACAUGUGUGUAUGUUCUAUUCUUUAGCACAUUAAGGAUGGCCGAGCAGCACUUGCAAGGAUGGACAGGGGAGUAUCUAUGCCUAAUAUGAUGGAACCAAAAGCAAGUAUCUUCUCCUUUUUGCACUGAUGACAACUUUGUAAUCUACACUGAAAUAUGAUAGAAAAUUCCUACAUUGUUCACUUACUCAACAGGAAAGGUCAAAUUAUUUAAAGUGGGGCUGUAUGAGGUACUUACAGUAGAUAGCGGUCGGCACGACCCUUGUUUGGAGUGACCACAAGGAAGCUAAGCAUUCUGCUGUGGACGUGGGUAGCAGCAAAACAUACUUUCGGCCCCUAUAUUAAUCAUUAUAAGCUUAAGUGUAGGCUAUAUUUAAACCAGUUUAACUGCUCUAUGGUGCCAUCAGACAACCCUAUCUGACAGGGAACUGAAGCUUGGAGCAAACAAACUCCAUUAAUAAAUAUUGUAAUUUUACCUUGCAGAACAGAGAAGGUUGCCUACAGCUGCUUCACCGGUUUGUUUAUGCUAAUGUGUGACUUUGGGCAAUUUGUACUUACCAAAAUCACACUAUAACAUAAUAUCAAACUAGGUGAUUUAGGUUGCAGUGGACCAGUGAUUUUCUUGAUCUUCAAAGUAAAAAUACUGUUUAUCAAUAGAGGCUGGCGACUUUGAAGAAAGCAUAAACAGCAUCGGCAGGUAGAUAUAACACCUUUAGCUGCUGCCCCACUUACAGAGUAAAACCUUCAUAAGAUGACAGUUGGUAAGUACCUCAUAUAACUCAACUUCAAAAAAUCCAAACUAUACCUUUUAGAGCAUUUAGCCAAACCAGGAGACAUUUUGCAACUAAAUUAGAUAUAUACUAACCACACUUAAAAAAAAGAGACACCAUCCCCAAACAGGAAAAUUAAGUUGUAUUUAGCCUUGCAGUGCGGGGACAUUGGUGGAAGAAUUAAGGAGAUUUUUUUACUGGAGGUGAAAGACUCACAUUUCUGAUUUAGCAUGCUGCUUCUGGAGCUGAGUCACGCUUAGCAUGCUGGCUUCUCCAUGCUCAUCUGCACAUAGCUUUGACUUAAAGAGGCUGGAUACUGUAUGCAGCAUACAGUGGAGCAUAUAUUGUCAUCCAAACAACUCAUAUCACUAUAUACUGCAUAGUAUAUAAGACAUUUUACAUAACGGUGUUGAUAUGAGUUGGUCACAAAGAACUUCUAGUUGCUUAUUAUUGAGCAUUUCAGCUAAAUAAACAACUACCAUGUGCCAGUUUCUAGAGGGGAGUAGUUAUUUAGAAAAUUCUACUAAGUACCUCAGUUUCCAGGACAAUCAUUCCCAUGUGGACUUACUUAGCUUACGUUAUGUUUAAAAAAUAAAAUGUUUGAGGUAAAUAACUUAAAAUAUGCAGCUGUUAAAUAACUCUGUUUUCAUGUUUUUGACCUUGCCUAAUCUAUCGCACGUUUGUACAACAACAAAAAGUGUGCCCAACAUAGCACCCUGCAUUUCUCCUCAACAACCUAAACAACAGCUCUCACUCCCAGUCAGCCUCCUGUCACUCCCACACAGUGUUCCCUCUGUCACAAUCAGGACUACAAAAGUAUCCACACUGAUUGAAAUGGUCUGUGAAGCUUAACCCUAGCCUGUAGGUUUGACUUGUUCACUGACUCAGUGUCUCCUUCUGAAGGUGUAUCCCUAUGAAAUGCUCAUGAUAACCAGUAGAGGGAGAGCUAAACUGCCCAGGGAUGUGGACAGAACCAGACUGGAGCGCCACUUAGCACCCGAACUGUUCUUUGACAUCUUUGGAAUGGAGGUCCAGGAGUUUGACAGGCUUCCCCUGUGGAAACGCAACGACAUGAAAAAGAAGGCCAAGCUCUUCUAGCACUCAGAGCAGCAUGCACAUACUGUACAUUCAUCCAGAUAGCACACGACAAACUGUAAUCUAGAUGUAGGUUUUUGGGUUUAUUUCCUUUUCUUAUGGAUUCGUUUUCUUUUAUCCUGGCAUAAUUCAAGGAAGCCACAAGAUGGACUGAACUUUUUUUGUUUCUCUGAAGCUUCCUGAGACUGUGAGCUGAAGGAUUUGUCCAGUUAGACUUGCACAGGAAACAAGGAAUGGGAAUCUUUUCCAUGUUCAAAAAUGACAAAGAAUGAGAAUGAUUGAUAAAUAGGGUCAUGUUAUUUCGUUUGACUGCGCUUGUUUUACUUCUUGCUUUGCUUCGAGUGGAACUGCUUUCCUUUCUUUCUUGCUUGUUUCUUCCUACUAUUUGUUGCUGUUGAUUCCUGUGGAACUUUGUAAGUACGGUAGAACCUCAUGGCGCCAUUAUCAAAUGUCCAUGCUCGUAGCUUGAACAUGUGUCCGCUUUCCCAACGCUUGGGCUGAAACAGAUUUUGCCCAAAGUUCGCAAGAAUCGACUCAGUGAGUCUUUGAAUAAAAAUAAUUAUAUAAAAAACACAGGGAAAGCAGUGAGCUGACCCAUCAACUGUUUUACCAGAUCUCCACAGAAACCCCCUACACAUUGCCAGUCCCCUCCCCUUGCUUCUGUACAAUCCAAACAUUCAUCUGACCCUGCCAAAAAGAAAAAUGUCUCUCUUCUCAGGCUCUCAUAAAAAUGGCCACACACGUUCCCUUUACAUGUAUUGGAAGUACAAUCCUUUAAUAUAUUUUAGUGCCGUAUCCAAAAUACAGUAACCAACAAAUAUACAAAAACACCCAAUGUGAGAAUCAACUGUAUUUGAAAGUACUGUUUUAUAAAUGAAAAACCCACACUGCCAUUUGUUGUAUUGAAAUUUAAGCCAAUAAAGCUUUAAAUCACCAUGAACCAUAUGAUCCUCAGCUAUACCAAAGGUACCCAUCGCCUCUUUUCUGUUCUCUGUUUUUCUUCUUUGCAUUGCACCAAUAAACACACAGCUUCUGUAAGACCA